AGUUGUCUCUGACUCAUCCAACUUGAGAGCAGCCGCUUGAGAGGGGGUGAGGAAGGGGAAGAGUGGGAGGAAGAAGAUAUAUUAGGGGCAGGAGGCAGGAAAGGUUUAACAUUACUAGUAAUGUCACACAGUCAUGAUCUCACUUUGUUGCUUUCUGAGCUUGGCAGACAUCCAAAGCUGACUCAUAAUCUCUUGAGGAGCUUUCAUGUGUUUCUCAAAGAUUUCCCCACUGGGAACCUCCAGAUACAUUUCUGAGGUUAAGGCAAUGUUUCUUUUCUAGGUGUCUGCUUAUAAUUUCUCCUUGGACCGUGGACAUCCAGCAGUCUAUUCUGUUGGGAGCCCUAUCUUCCCUCUAGGAAGCCCUCUUGGGUUGUAUUGUUUCAAUUACAGUGUCUUCAAGUUCAUUGAUCUUUAUUUGUACAUUAAUCUAAUUGGCCGUUAUUCCCAUCCACUGAAUUUUUUACUUCAGGCCAAGCUUUACCCUACUACUGAAUGCCCCACUCUGGCUGAUUGGAAUUCAUUUGAACUCUGGAUAUUGUUCUCCCUGAGAAUUCUUUGUCUGGUUUAUAGAUUUUCACUUUAUGCAUGUGUAGCUAAGUAUUCAAUAGCAGGUUCCAAGGUCCCUGGUGCAGAUUUCUGAAGCUUUGUCACAAUGUAGUUCUCUUCCCUCUUGUACCCAUCCACAAUUCUAGCUACCCAGUGUUCUGACCUCCAUCUCUACAAUGCAAUAAAAACACCAAGAUCUGUCUGUUUGGGCUCCUUUGCUCUCCAUCAAACUCCAGGAGGUGAUUCUAAGCAGAAAAGCUGAUUUGGUUUCCUUCUCUCAGGAAUCAGUUCUGUGCUGCCUGUGGUCCAGUGUCUGAAAACAGUUGUUUUAUAUAUUUUGCUUAAUUUUCCAGUUGUUUACAUCAGAGAGCAAAUCUUGUCACGUUUAUUCCCACCUGACUGGAAAGCCAAAAUUUCCGUAUAUUCUUCUGGGAAGUCUGCCUUUUGCACCUGCAAUGAACUAGACAGUGCUCCUUUCUCCAUAUGGUGUAAAAUAUGUGAUUAUUACAAUUCAUCACGUUUCUGAAUGACACACUGGUCUUUAUCUUAUUUAAGUUAUCCUGGAAACUAAAAUGUCCAUAGCCACUUAAAAGAGAAGGUGGCAUUAGGUAGAAGCUAGACCUGAGCAGUGGAAGGAAUGCCCUGACGUAGAGUCCCAAGUCCUUGAAGGGGGAUGAUAGAGACCUUAGCUGUAGUCAAGGAUGGUGAAUAAAAAGCUACACAUUGAAAGCCCAGGAGUACAACAUCCUGACUUUGUGGCUUCUAAGACCUU